GCCGAGGUGGUGAAAUUGGUAGACACGCUACUUUGAGGUGGUAGUGCUAAAUUAAGCAGCUUACGGGUUCAAAUCCCGUCCUCGGUA
rnacentral:tRNA from 1 species